CAUGUCUUCUGUCUUAGCCCACAAGGCCAUAGUCUCCCCCGCUCGCGGCGGCAGAACACGGCCGGCGAUGGAGCACGGGACGUCAUCGGCGGCGGCGCUCUGGGGGCACGAGCACCUCCCGCUGCUGGCCCGCGCGCGCUCCAAGGACUCGGUAGAGUACAUCCUGCAGGCCCUUUGGCGCACCCGCCGCACCGGCCUCGACGCCGCCGACCGCGCCAUCGUCCGCGACAUCCUCCAGCUCCCCUCCGACUCCGAGCUCGACCCCCUCUUGGUGUGCCUCCGGAUACUGAUCCGCAGGUGCGUCCAUGACAACAUCGCGAAGGAGGAGAUUCCGAAGCUUUUCCCUGCAGAGGUGCUGCCCGAGCUGCAAAGGCUGCUCACUUUGCUCCUGCAGAAGUUUCAGCCGGAGUGGCGAGAGGACACCUUAAAGGAUCAGGCAUCCGCGGCGAAUUCGGGAACAACAAAAGGCCAUUUGAGUAAAAAUCAAGACGCGUCAGAGCAACCAGCUACUACACAGAUUCACUGUGGUACAUCAUCAGCAAAGCUCUCUUCUGAAUCAGGAGAGAAAGAAGGGAAGCUCCCGUUAGCUAAGGAUUCUUUAGACAAAAUGCUCAACGAUGUAUACCCAAUCAGGGGCUAAGUGUCAAAUGCUGUGAGGCAAUACCAACGGGGGUCAUGGAGAAGCAGCAAGAAGCACUUAGGAAAGGAUGAUUCUGCUGCUUCUUUUUUAGCUCCGAGGGCAUUUUUUAGCUAUAGGCGACCCAUAUGUAAAUUCACUAGUAGUACCUUUUCCAUUUUUGUUAAAUCAUUGGUAGAUAACAUCUUUGCAACUAGAAUUAUUGUGUUCUUUAUCAGACAGAACGCAACUUCUGCCUGUUCUUCUGUCUUUACUGGUCUCUACGCCAUAGGGUUGAUGGCAACAUGGGAAGUAAGAGCAUCUCCAACAGCAGCCCUAUUUUAGGGUGUUACCGUUU